GAAUUCGCCCUUGGGGAAUUUUCCGCAAUGGGCGAAAGCCUGACGGAGCAACGCCGCGUGAGGGAGGAAUGUCUGUGGAUUGUAAACCUCUUUUCUCUGGGAAGAAGAUCUGACGGUACCAGAGGAAUCAGCAUCGGCUAACUCCGUGCCAGCAGCCGCGGUAAGACGGAGGAUGCAAGCGUUAUCCGGAAUUAUUGGGCGUAAAGCGUCCGUAGGCGGUUAAUUAAGUCAGUUGUUAAAGACUGCAGCUCAACUGUGGGAGAGCAACUGAAACUGGUUGACUAGAGUAUGGUAGGGGUAGAGGGAAUUCCUAGUGUAGCGGUGAAAUGCGUAGAUAUUAGGAAGAACACCAGUGGCGAAGGCGCUCUACUGGGCCAAGACUGACGCUGAUGGACGAAAGCUAGGGGAGCGAAAGGGAUUAGAUACCCCUGUAGUCAAGGGCGA
rnacentral:rRNA from 1 species